AAAAAGAUGAAAAAUUCUUAUUCUCUCUCUUUUUCUCGUUGUGGUCUUUAGAAUACAUUAUUCGCUUGGUCUAAUCGUGUUAUAAUAGAACAUUGUAAAGUUAUAAAGUUUAAUGAGUAGAUCGCAUCGUUAACAAAAUCAUCAUGAACGUUGGCAAUAAUACGCAACUAGAAUGUAUCGAUUCUUCUAAAAGUAACGAGUAUUGUGGGAAAUGUAUAAAGGAGCAGUCAAAAGAAGAAUUACUGUCGUUUGUGAUAAAAUGCGCCAAUUUUGCUGCGGAAAAACAUCGGAAUCAAAGAAGGAAGGAUAUCGCUCAAACCCCAUAUAUAAAUCACCCUUUAGGAGUUGCAAACAUUUUAAUUCAAGAGGGCAAUGUUUUUGAACCAGUAGUAAUUCUAGCCGCAAUCUUACAUGAUACAGUAGAAGAUACAGAUACUACAUUUGCAGAAAUUGAGAAAGAAUUUGGGCAUAAAGUUUGUCAGAUAGUGCAAGAAGUAACUGAUGAUAAAACAUUAUCAAAAGCCGAACGUAAACGAUUACAGAUAGAACAUGCUCCUAAUAUAUCUCGCGAAGCAAAACUGGUAAAACUAGCCGAUAAAUUAUACAAUUUAAGGGAUCUCGAAAAGAGUGUGCCUAUUGGUUGGACAAAUGAAAGAGUAAAAGAAUAUUUCGAGUGGGCAAAAGCUGUCAUAGAUGGAUGUCGUCAAACUAAUCCUGCUUUAGAAAGAGAAUUAGACAUUCUGUUUGCACGUAAUUGUGAUACAAUCUGAAGAGAACUUAAAUUUUAGGAGUGUAGUUGAUGAAAUUCUGCAACAUACCGCGAGCUACGGCACCAAGAAGGAACUCUUUUUCGAGCUUUUCGUCACCGUCAUUUAUUCUGAAUGGAACGUUCAUCCUACUACGCGCGUUUCGCUUGAUGGGACAUACAUAAAAACCUCCUGAAUUGUCAAUCACAUCGUAUAUCUUGUUGCUCUUCUUCUUCGCAAAGUUCUGCAUACCUUCGGGGCCACCAUUCCGUUUGAUCCAUUCGAAAACCAAUCCAACUACAUAUAUCCUAGUCGUCAAAUUAACAAGAAUUUUACGAAAUCGUGAUAUAUGAAAUUAAUGACACUCACUGAAAGACGGGAGGAGUGUUGUGCAAAGAGUUGUCAUUUGCCAUGACGGUAAAAUUCAAUACUGUUGGACAUACAUCCAUUGGAUAACCGAGCAUAUCAUCCCGCACGAUUACUAAAGUAACACCAGCCGGGCCAAUAUUUUUUUGCGCUCCCGCAAAAAUCACUGCAAACUUGGAUACAUCGAAAGGUUUUGACAGUAUAUUGGAUGACAUGU